GACGAACGCUGGCGGCGUGCUUAACACAUGCAAGUCGAACGCUGAAGCUCAGCUUGCUGGGUGGAUGAGUGGCGAACGGGUGAGUAACACGUGAGUAACCUGCCCUCUUCUUUGGGAUAACGCCCGGAAACGGGUGCUAAUACUGGAUAUUCACUGAUUCUCGCAUGGGGGUUGGUGGAAAGGUUUUUUCUGGUGGGGGAUGGGCUCGCGGCCUAUCAGCUUGUUGGUGGGGUGAUGGCCUACCAAGGCUUUGACGGGUAGCCGGCCUGAGAGGGUGACCGGUCACAUUGGGACUGAGAUACGGCCCAGACUCCUACGGGAGGCAGCAGUGGGGAAUAUUGCACAAUGGGCGAAAGCCUGAUGCAGCGACGCCGCGUGAGGGAUGGAGGCCUUCGGGUUGGAAACCUCUUUCGCUCAUGGUCAAGCCGCAGCUUGGGGUUGUGGUGAGGGUAGUGGGUAAAGAAGCGCCGGCUAACUACGUG
rnacentral:rRNA from 1 species